rnacentral:misc_RNA from 1 species
AACAUACCUAAACGUUGCUUCGGCGGGAAUAGACGGCCCCGUGAAACGGGCCGCCCCCGCCAGAGGACCCUUAACUCUGUUUCUAUAAUGUUUCUUCUGAGUAAAACAAGCAAAUAAAUUAAAACUUUCAACAACGGAUCUCUUGGCUCUGGCAUCGAUGAAGAACGCAGCGAAAUGCGAUAAGUAAUGUGAAUUGCAGAAUUCAGUGAAUCAUCGAAUCUUUGAACGCACAUUGCGCCCGCCAGUAUUCUGGCGGGCAUGCCUGUUCGAGCGUCAUUACAACCCUCAGGCCCCCGGGCCUGGCGUUGGGGAUCGGCGGAGCCUCUCUGUGGGCACACGCCGUCCCCCAAAUACAGUGGCGGUCCCGCCGCAGCUUCCAUCGCGUAGUAGCUAACACCUCGCGACUGGAGAGCGGCGCGGCCACGCCGUAAAACACCCAACUUUUCUGAA